UGCGUAAUAGCUCACUGGUCGAGUGAUUGUGCGCCGAAGAUAUAACGGGGCUAAAACCUGCCACCGAAGCUUAGGAAUGUUGUAAGACAUUGGUAGAGGAGCGCUGUAUAGCGGCAGAAGCUGAACCGGAAGGAUUGGUGGACGCUAUACAAGAGAGAAUGCCGGUAUAAGUAGCGAGAGCGGAGUGAGAAUCUCCGCCGUCGAAAGCCAAAGGAUUCCUGAGGAAGGUUCGUCCACUCAGGGUAAGUCGGGACCUAAGCCGAGGGCGGUAGAGCCGUAGGCGAUGGACAACUGGUAGAUAUUCCAGUACCACCUGACGCGAUAAUAUGAAGCAGUGACACAGGAGGAUAGUCAGAGCGCGCGGCUGGAAGAGCGCGUCCAAGCAGAGAGGGAGGAGCUAUGUAGUGAUAGCUUCAAUUCUGGUCUGUGAAGGGGAGUGAAAAUAGUAGCGAAGCUGAUGAAUUCACGCUGGCGAGAAAAGCUGCUAAGAGCGGAAAGGUGCCCGUACCGCAAACCGACACAGGUAGGCGAGGAGAGAAUCCUAAGACGAGCGGGAGAACCCUUGUUAAGGAACUCGGCAAAAUUACCUCGUAACUUCGGGAGAAGGGGUGCCCAUUGCAAGAUGGGCCGCAGAGAAAAGGCUCAAGCGACUGUUUAACAAAAACACAGGUCUGUGCGAAUUCGAGAGAAGACGUAUACGGGCUGACGCCUGCCCGGUGCUGGAAGGUUAAGGGGAAUUGUAAGCGCAAGCGAAGCAAAGAACCGAAGCCCCAGUAAACGGCGGCCGUAACUAUAACGGUCCUAAGGUAGCGAAAUUCCUUGUCGGGUAAGUUCCGACCCGCACGAAUGGCGUAACGACUUGAGCGCUGUCUCAACAGGGGACUCGGCGAAAUUGUAGUAUGGGUGAAGAUGCCCAUUACCCGCGACUGGACGGAAAGACCCCGUAGAGCUUUACUGUAGCCUGAUAUUGGAUUUUGGUAAUGGAUGUACAGGAUAGGUGGGAGGCAUAGAAGCAAGGACGCCAGUCUUUGUGGAGCCGACGUUGGGAUACCACCCUUUGAUUACCGGGGUUCUAACAGACAGCCGUAAGCCGGCGUUUGGACAGUGUCAGGUGGGCAGUUUGACUGGGGCGGUCGCCUCCGAAAGAGUAACGGAGGCGCCCAAAAGUUCCCUCAGAAUGGUUGGGAAUCAUUCGGAGAGUGCAAAGGCAAAAGGGAGCUUGACUGCGAGAGAGACAUCUCGGGCAGAUACGAAAGUAGGGCUUAGUGAUCCGGCGGCAGAGAGUGGAAUUGCCGUCGCUCAACGGAUAAAAGUUACCUCGGGGAUAACAGGCUGAUCUCCC
rnacentral:rRNA from 1 species